rnacentral:lncRNA from 1 species
CGCGGUAUUUAGCGGAACGUUGAGCCGCAGAGCCGUUGGCAGCUGCGUGGAGAGUGACGGCAGUGCCGGCAACAUGGCGUUUGCGGCCCGCACCUCGGCCGGUGCUGGAGGCCGACGAGGGGUCGUGCGGGUGGAGCCGCUGCAGCCCUAAUGCUCUGCAGUGCUGCCGAAAGUUACUCCACUACCUACGGCGUUCUGCUAAGGCACAGUGUAGGCUGUUGUGAAGUUAAUUGAUGAUGUUAAGAAGUAUAACUAUUCAUCUCACUUGUAACAGAAAGCUAUUUUGGGACUGUAAAACUUACGGGAGCUUAACUACUUGUCCCACAUGCAAGCAGAAUAUGAGGCAGGUAGAGAAAUUCAGCAACAUGCAGCACUGGACAGUGUGGAACAAAAAAGCAUUGAAAUUUCGGCAGCAGCCAGCUCUGAAGACUUACAGAGCUUUCCUCGUGAAAAGAGUGCUGUGUAUUUAAUGCCAUCUAGUUGUAUCUCUGUGUAGUGGUGCACCUGUAACCAACAGAGAAACAUCCACAUAUUUUUCAAGUAGGGUGGCUUUAUCUUUCAUGAUUAUCUUAAUUGUUAUCACAAUGCAUAAGCAGAGGUCUUUAAUGAAUAAAC